rnacentral:rRNA from 1 species
UACAUGGGGUGCAAACGUUGCUCGGAAUUAUUGGGCGUAAAGCGUCUGUAGGUGGCUUUUCAAGUCCGCCGUCAAAUCCCAGGGCUCAACCCUGGACAGGCGGUGGAAACUACCAAGCUGGAGUACGGUAGGGGCAGAGGGAAUUUCCGGUGGAGCGGUGAAAUGCAUUGAGAUCGGAAAGAACACCAACGGCGAAAGCGCUCUGCUGGGCCGACACUGACACUGAGAGACGAAAGCUAGGGGAGCAAAUGGG